UACGUAGGGGGCAAGCGUUAUCCGGAUUUACUGGGUGUAAAGGGAGCGUAGACGGCUUUGCAAGCCAGAUGUGAAAGCCCGGGGCUCAACCCCGGGACUGCAUUUGGAACUGUAUGGCUGGAGUGUCGGAGAGGCAGGCGGAAUUCCUAGUGUAGCGGUGAAAUGCGUAGAUAUUAGGAGGAACACCAGUGGCGAAGGCGGCCUGCUGGACGAUGACUGACGUUGAGGCUCGAAAGCGUGGGGAGCAAACGGG
rnacentral:rRNA from 1 species